rnacentral:rRNA from 1 species
GAUGAACGCUGGCUACAUGCUUAACACAUGCAAGUCGAGGGGAAACGACGGGGAAGCUUGCUUCCCCGGGCGUCGACCGGCGCACGGGUGAGUAACGCGUAUCCAACCUGCCUCUGACUGAGGGAUAACCCGUCGAAAGUCGGCCUAAUACCUCAUGGCAUCGUCUGCGGGCAUCCAACGACGAUUAAAGAUUUCAUCGGUCAGAGAUGGGGAUGCGUCUGAUUAGCUUGUUGGCGGGGUAACGGCCCACCAAGGCGACGAUCAGUAGGGGUUCUGAGAGGAAGGUCCCCCACAUUGGAACUGAGACACGGUCCAAACUCCUACGGGAGGCAGCAGUGAGGAAUAUUGGUCAAUGGGCGAGAGCCUGAACCAGCCAAGUAGCGUGCAGGAUGACGGCCCUAUGGGUUGUAAACUGCUUUUAUGCGGGGAUAAAGUGAGGGACGUGUCCUUCAUUGCAGGUACCGCAUGAAUAAGGACCGGCUAAUUCCGUG